GAGAGAGAGAGAGAGGAGAGAGAGAGGGAGACAUCGUCAUCAUCUUCGCGCGUGAGGACACUGAUACACUGAUGCAGUGAUACAUUGAUACAUUGAUGCAGUGGUGUGUGAGUGUGUGUGUGUGAUGCAGAGCUGAUGUCCGCCUGCACUGAGGGUUUCCUGCGCGCGUGACACCGAAGAAGAUCCACCAUCAUCGCGCGCUCGCCAGCGCAGGGAAUUCUGGCUUUUCCCGGGAAUGUUGCGGGCGUUUGCUGAUGUGUGAUGACGGGACCGAGAUGUCGCUCACUCCUUAAAUCACUUUCCAGACCGCUGAAAGCGAGCGCUGUCCUCAUCCGUCUGCCUGCUCUUCUUCAGCCUCCGCCUGGUCUGAGUGACACACAGUCAUGACCAAAUCAUACCAGUUCAACUGGCAGAAGGAGGUUCCCCAUUUCCUUCAGGAGGGGGCCACAUUCGACCGGUUCGAUGAGGAUCCCUUCGUCUUCGAGCCCGGCUGCCAUUUUAAAGUCGACGAGUUCGGCUUCUUCCUCACGUGGAAAAGUGAAGGAAAGGUGCGAUUGAUCUG